rnacentral:rRNA from 1 species
AUACGUAGGGGGCGAGCGUUGUCCGGAAUGAUUGGGCGUAAAGGGCGCGUAGGCGGCCCGGUAAGUCUGGAGUGAAAGUCCUGUUUUUAAGAUGGGAAUUGCUUUGGAUACUGUCGGGCUUGAGUGCAGGAGAGGUAAGUGGAAUUCCCAGUGCAGCGGUGAAAUGCGUAGAGAUUGGGAGGAACACCAGUGGCGAAGGCGGCUUACUGGACUGUAACGGACGCUGAGGCGCGAAAGUGUGGGGAGCAAACAGGAUUAGAUACCCUGGUAGUCCACACUGUAGACGAUGAAUGCUAGGUGUAGGGGGUAUCGACCCCUUCUGUGCCGCAGUCAACACAAUAAGCAUUCCGCCUGGGGAGUACGGCCGCAAGGUUGAAACUCAAAGGAAUUGACGGGG